UAAAGGCGAGUUCGUAAUUGCUUGACGUAAAAAACAUAACCUUAAUUCUCUCAGCUGUCAUCGAUAAACAUCAUCAUGAUUGUUGUUAAUAGUUGAAAGCAGAUAAAACUGAAUAGGUUCAUUAAAACUACGGGAGAAAAUGAGAUUUUCGUACUUGUUGUAAAUUUUACUAGCUACGCUUAUUCACACACACAUAAAAUCCUGCAGAAUGUCGGAUUUACCAGCAGAAUUGACAACCAGGCCAUUGGCUCUUAUAGGCCUGGUUGGUUUAGAUAUCAGUAAUUCGAUCCAUCAUUCCAUUUGGGAUGCUUUUAACAACAAUCGUCGACCUGAUGGUGCAGCUGUACAAUUUAAAUUGAUCAGCAGCACUCAUGAAUUUCCAACUGUAAAACCAAAACGCAACUCAUACGAAUGGUAUAUACCCAAGGGAAUACUGAAACGUAAUUGGAUGAAUAAGUAUUUGCACGAAAUACCAGCUGUGAUGGUUGUUUUUUAUGAUCUCGAUUGGCAUGAUACGCAAUGGAACGAAAAGAAAAUGGAAUGUGCUUCAAGAGUGCAAUCACUGAGAGCUGCCUUAGAAGGGAGGAAUACAAAAAUAGCCGUAGUAUUGAUACAAAAGGAAGCCCCUCCACCUCCUGGUACUGAAGAUAUGGUAGCUACAGAGCGAGCAACUGCACUUUGUGCUGCAUGCGAGUUACCAGCAAAAACUCUUUAUUUUUUACCUUAUGCAGAUCAUUUAUUAGGCUACACAUUUAGAUUAGAGCAUGUUUUAUACGACUUAGCCCAAAGUUUUUAUCAUCAAGAAUAUCGAAUAGUAAAGAGUCAUAGAGAACAAUUAAACAAAACUGCCCAUCAAUACUUAUUUGUAAGACACCAAUUCAAAAUGGCUUUUCUAAAUGAGUUAAAGCAAGAUCAAAAUACAGCUUAUAAGCAUUAUCAGCAAGCAUACAAUAAUCUACUGGAUAUUCGAAUGGUAGACACAAAUUCUCUAGAGAUAAAAACCGUAGCAUCCUUCAUAAACUACAAGCUCUGCAGACUUAUGUUCAGUCUCAAGCUUCCCAAGGACGCGAUAGUUCAUUUCCGAAAUCAUACCGAGAGAUUUAAAACGAGGACUGGACCAAAGGAGCUUAUGUUUGAGCAUCACGCUUGGAUGUCUAAUCAAUACUCAACCUUCGCCGAGCUUUUCGACGAAGCAAUCAGGCAAGGGUUGCCUGCCGUGCAGACGCAGCACCCUGGAUAUUAUUUUCAAUUAGCAGCUUCUCACGCGUCUCAGAGGCAUAUUUCAUGCAAGGAGCUUUGUCAAAAUGUCGAUACAUAUCCAGAUCCGGACCCGCUGGCCGGGGAGGAAAAGUUGGAGUUUUACGGGCAGAGACCUUGGAGGCCGGGUAAACUCAAUGCAGAGCCGGCCGAUAUGACGCGAGAGACUGCUGCGAUCCAAGCUCUGCAGUAUAAAGAAAAGAAUACUGUUAAUCAUUCAAUGAUUAUAAUAGGUUUAUUAGGGAAUGCCAUUUCACAAUUUAAAAUAUACAGAUGUCCUCGAAUGCGUCGGCUGUUAGUUGAACAGAUGGCUGAAGAAUAUUUUAAUUGUAAAGAUUACGGAAAAGUAUUGACGUUGCUCAUGCAUAUGCUGUGGGAAUACCGAAGUGAAAGAUGGCCUGUCUUACUCACAGAUAUACUAAAAAGUGCACUCAAGGCUGCAUACUUAUCAGCAAGUAUUCAAGAUUACCUUACGUUAGCUUUAGAAGCGUUAGGGCCUUCAACGAUGUUUUCUACAGAACGUAAAACAAACAUUUUUGAAAAUAUUAUGAAUAUACUGCAGAGUAAGCCGCCAAACCCUGAACCAGAUUUAGCUGAUGAUUUAAAGGGUUCUGCUGUAGAUAAAUGGACGACAAUGGUGAAUCGAAACGAGCCCUUCAUUUUUACAAUAGAUGAUGACAAUAUGACGUCUUUCAUUGAUGUAAAGGCGCGAUUUACACAACCUAAAUAUACGAUUAAUUCUACAGUUACAAUAGAAGUUUUUAUCAGGAACCUGUAUCAUAGUUUCGUAGAAUUUUCAAAAGUAUCAGUAACUGUCACUAGUCCGGGAUAUAACUCGGAAUUUCCAGUUUCCGACGCUGCUGGGCAGAAUAACGUUGUAUUUAGUGCCAAAGAAUCGAAGAAAUUUAUUUGUCAAUUCAAAACUCCACAACAGAAUGAUUCUUCCGAAAUUCAAAUUAGCACGAUAUCCCUGUAUCUUGGAAAUGACAAAAGAUGUUGCGUCAUUUUACGGUUUUCGGCUUCUGGUAGAGAAACGAAUCAUCUUGACCGCAUGUAUCCUGAGAUUCAGCAACUUCGAGGAGGAGUAUUUGAUACGAUACGGCCGGUGGUUACUACAAAGAUUCAACAAGAAGAAUAUAACGUAGCAAUAACUAUGGAAUCCAAACAUCCAGCUCUUUUGGGCGAAUGGUUUCCUGUAAAAAUAUCAGUGAAAACUGAUGAAGAUAUCAAUAAUGUAAAUAUUUUUAUGAACUUGUUGCAAGAUAAUAACAGCGAACAAUUAACUGAGUUAAGUUUGAACAUGAGUGAAAAAAAUUCUUCCGUAACGGUUGAAAUUGAUAAUAUCAGUGCCAACACCUCCGUUCAGCGAAUCGUAUACGUUAGAUCCCACAAUGUUGGCGAUAGAAACUUUGCUAUUAAGAUUGAGUAUUUGAGGUCUGGACAGAAAAAAGAUUCUAAAGAAACGAAUUACUCAUUUGCUGUUGUUAAACCUUUCGAUGUGUCCACCCAGUUUUAUACAAUGUUAUACGAACCUCUCACGAAAGGAUUCAUAAAUGAGCCUCUGUUUAUAAUGCCUCACAUUACGUGCACUUCACCCUGGCCUAUAGAAAUAGAGGAUACUUCUAUAGAACUGGGUAAUUCAAUAUCCAAAGAAACGGAAUCAACCCAGGAAAGUAUUUUGAGGAAAGCUAUAUUACGAGAAGGCGAAACUGGUACGGAUGUUUACUGCAUAGUUCCGAAAAUUGGUAGUGAGCAACCUACUAGUACAGGAAUUUAUUCUUUAAAAUGGAAAAGGGCAAAUGACGAAGAUGCUGUGGUAACGAGUAGUAGUGUCACGCUAACGCCGUUGUGGGUAGAGGAUGCGGUUAUAGGCCUGGAAAGUAAACUACCUCCUCAUGGUUGGGUUCGCACACCGUUAUGUGUUUCAUACUUUAUAAAAAAUCAUUCCGAUUACUUAAUUACGUUACGGCUAAGUAUGGAGUCCAGCGAUGCCUUUAUGUUUGCUGGUCACAAGCAGAUGGACAUCUGCAUUCUUCCAGAAAGCGAAAAAAAAGUCGAAUGGAUUCUUCGACCGUUAGUCGCUGGUUUUGUAGCUCUUCCAUCACUAUCGUUGACAGUUCCUGAAGACGAGGAAUAUAAACUAAAUAAGACAAGGCUCAAAGAAGUUAUAGAAAGGUCAAUACCCAGUCACAUUUACAUUAUGCCGAAAUCGCAGACAAUAGAGGAAUAACUAGGCUGAUCAGUUGAUUAGCCAGUGAAUGUGCAAAUAGCAUUUUAUUUUUGUCCACACAGAAGUAAACAUGUGAAUAUAUACAAAAACUUCGUAUUUAUAUAAGCCAUGUAUAAACGGUAAUUAAAAUUUUAUUGGAAAGUAUUUUAAUGAAAUUAUAAUUAUAAAAUAAAAAUUAUAUAAUUUUUUGUUACUAAAAAUUUUGUCACGAUUAAAAUUUUAAAUUGAUACGACUUCUAUUACCACUACAACAAUAAAUUACUUUAAUCUAAUAAUUUAAAUAACAAAAUUUUAAAGUAUACAAAAUUAUUGAAAAAUGAAAAUCACAAGUAACAGAAUUUACGGUUCCUUUCUCGUAUCAUGAUCGAUCCUCGCGGUUGCCAACGUUACACGUACACUCACAAAAGCAAUGUCUUUGUAAACUGCACCGUAAAUGUUCGCGUGCACGUUUUGAGACACGUGUUUUCUGUAUUAACGCGUCGACGCGACCGAUAAUAAAAACAACAAUUAUAGAAAAAUCGAUUAAAAUGUAUCAGCCACAGCAGCAAAACAAUGAAUUCCGAGAGGUUUUGAAUAAGUUCUCGGAGCAGGAAAAAAAAUUGGAGAAAAGGAUUCAAGAAUGGUAUGACAUGAGUAUAGAAGCAACAACAUUUUCAAAUAAUUCAAACGCGAAGAAUUACAUCGAGAACUGGUAUCAAAAGAUACAAAGAAUAAAUGCACUUCACCGCUAUCGAAUUUGCGCUAUCAACGACAAGUAUCACACAUUCGAAACCAACAGUUACUAAAGGAUUUAGAGAAGUCGAAAGCCAUACUACGAACGGAAUCGACGUUCACACCGAACGAACAGGAGCUUCGAGACCUGGCUGCGGCUUAUCGCGAAUUAUUGCAGAAAUGAGGAGCAACUCGUUAUACUCAGAUACGCACCUGAAACUACGCUUGGGCAAAGUGUUUUACUUUGAUUUUACCUUGUUAAACUAUAGCAUUAAUUUACAAACUAUAUAACUGAUUGCUGCGCUGACGCGGCGAAUUGUUGACAAGGCUCACCUAAUAACUCGAGCCGAACGAACAAACUUGUUUAAUAACACAGUUUAUUGAUCGUUGGGAUCGAUGGACCAGGUGAAGCCUAUUGCUGAGGUUGACAUUUUUGACACUGUGAAUAGGAAAAAAUGACUUGUUGAACUGGACUAUCUCUUCUUCAUGUAAAAAAUUACUUUGGAUAAUCUGAAACGUUUAAAAAAUAUUAAAUGUUUAAAUUGAUAUUGAGCAGUAAAUUAUGCGAUAUUAUCACUGUUUUGAAAAGCGUAAAAA